rnacentral:rRNA from 1 species
CCUACGGGAGGCAGCAGUGGGGAAUAUUGCACAAUGGGCGGAAGCCUGAUGCAGCGACGCCGCGUGAGGGAUGACGGCCUUCGGGUUGUAAACCUCUUUCAGUAGGGAAGAAGCGAAAGUGACGGUACCUGCAGAAGAAGCGCCGGCUAACUACGUGCCAGCAGCCGCGGUAAUACGUAGGGCGCAAGCGUUAUCCGGAAUUAUUGGGCGUAAAGAGCUCGUAGGCGGUUUGUCGCGUCUGCCGUGAAAGUCCGGGGCUCAACUCCGGAUCUGCGGUGGGUACGGGCAGACUAGAGUGAUGUAGGGGAGACUGGAAUUCCUGGUGUAGCGGUGAAAUGCGCAGAUAUCAGGAGGAACACCGAUGGCGAAGGCAGGUCUCUGGGCAUUAACUGACGCUGAGGAGCGAAAGCAUGGGGAGCGAACAGGAUUAGAUACCCUGGUAGUCCAUGCCGUAAACGUUGGGCACUAGGUGUGGGGGACAUUCCACGUUUUCCGCGCCGUAGCUAACGCAUUAAGUGCCCCGCCUGGGGAGUACGGCCGCAAGGCUAAAACUCAAAAUGAAUUGACGG